AGCCAGCCAAGCUGGAGCAAGAGAGAAAGAGAGAAAGAGAAAGCAAGGAGGGAGGAUGGCAAGGUGCUGAAGGGGGACACAGCACAGAGAUCACCAGUCACUCAGGCGUUGAAGAUGGCUGAGAAUCGUCAGACGGGACAGGGACGUGCUCUGAGGAGCCAGCCCUCAGAGAGAGACUUGCAAAAGACCAGCACCUACAUCGUCCCCUGCUUCCUCUGCGUGGAGCUGGUCAUCAUGGCGGGCACUGUGCUGCUGGCGUACUACUUUGAGUACACGGACACCUUCCCCGUGCACCUGCAGGGCUUCUUCUGCU